GAAGGAUGCCUGGCCCACAAAUAUGCAUUCAGUGCACAUUUCUUGCUACAGUUCUGCUAAUCCUAUAAAACAUAUGCACUAUGAUGGAUGUGUCUGGGUGCCAGGAGGACACAAAGGAGCACUAACUCAUCCAGACCAGAAGCUUCCCAGAGGAGGUGAUUCCCAAGGUGAAAUCCGAAAGAUAAAGGGAGUGAGUUAUCCAGGAGAAGAGAAAGGAAAAGCAUAUUCCAGACAUCAGGAUAGGACAGUGGAGGCAAAACAGCAUAUGCUAUAUAUAUAUGGAAUUCACAACACUCUGGUAUGACUGAUUAGUAAAAAGUAGGAAGGCAGACCAAGAGAAAUAAGGAGACAUGGUAAGGUGAGUGGGCAAUAAUGCAUGAUCUGAAAAAUAAUAAUGCAUGGACUUAGUGUGGUUCACAUAUCAGGAGCUUCUCCAAUAGCCAGGCUAUGAGGCACUAAAAUGAGGAAAUAUGGUUUCCAAACUUCGCAAAUACUUAUAGUCCAGCCACAGGGGAUAUACUGAUAAACUCAGCUCAAAUGUCACCUCCUCAGAGAUGCUUUCUCAACCACCCUUAGUUCCAUGAGGACUGCAUCAUUGUUUAGGCCACUCCUGUAUCCCCAGAGCACAGAACAUUGUCUGGCUCAUAGUAGGUGCUCAAAAGUUUUGUUGAAUGAAUGAACAAAUAAACGUGUAAGGAAGUCAGGCACAGCACUUGCCCACAGGAAGCUUAUAAGAUGAGCGGCAUGCCAUUGGGAGUUUGAAUGAUAUAUGGAGAUCCAAACAGGGCAUCAGAGGACUGCUCAGAGGAGUCAGGGAAUUAAGAAAAAAUUGGGAGCCAGUGAGCCAAGAUGUGUUAAAAGCAAGUGAUCAAGCUUAGAUUGCAGUGUUAGUUAAUAGAGCAUAUGUGUCCCUGCCUGAUGCAUUACCUUCCCUGCAGUAGUUAGCCUUCUGGGACCCUGAAAAGCAUGCAGAAAGGUUGACAGCUUACAAUCAAUACCAUGUUCACUGAUGCAGGAAGCAACAUUAUCACAUCCAAGAUAUUGCCCCCACACCCAGGCUGCAGCACUAAAUAUUCCCCAUAACAAGGCAAAGGGAAGUGACAAGAGCUAUUAUUCUCAACCCUCCCACUUGGAAACAAGAGGUGAGACAAACCUUCCCCUAGAUGUUCUUAGGGAAAGGCAAGACCCCCAAAGAAAUCUUUCAGAGCUGAGCACAUGCCUAAUACAGCAAGACAGGGAUGGGAGAAGAUUGGCAUUUUCAUUUGCCUGGGUGUCCACAAUAUUGCAGGGGAAGCUCUGUGGGCAGCUGGGAAAUACAACAAUAAAUUGGAGGGGGAUGAACAAUAGGGUCAGUGGGGCUGUGUGCUGAGUGAAUGCUGGAUUUUAUUCUACAUGCCCAAUUCACUCCAAUAAGAUAAACUUGACUUCCUCCAGUGUGGCUUUCUUAUUUCAGCUUCUCUGACUGUGGCAUAAUUGAAAGUCAUAUUUCAUCUAGACCAUUGGUUUUCAACUCCAAAUGCAGGUGGCUUAUGAAGACUCAGCCUGAAUAUAUAAAGAGAACAGCAAACAAUCAUAGUUGCAUAUUAAAGACAAUCUAUUUCUCCGUAAAGGAAAGUAAAGUGAGUCAUAUUACAUACAAGCCACAAUACAGAACUGAUCUGAAAUACACUGCGGAAUGGCCUUUCAGUCUAUGCUGGACUCUAACAGGAAAAAGGCAGAAGGUGGUCAAUGGUGCAUUUAUUUAAACCCCUCAUUUCCUCCCUGACGAGAAGAAGGACAACAGUUCUUAUUUUUCAUAUUAUUUUUGAAAAGGCAGAAAGGUUAAUUAUAUAUUGACAUGAUUUGGAUCUGUGUCCUCACCAUAAUCUCAUGUCAAAUUGUAAUCCCCAGUGUUUGAGGUGGGGCCAGGUGGGAGGUGAUUGGAUCGUGGAGGUGGAUUUCUCAUGCAUGGUUUAGCACCAUCUUCUUGGUGCUAUUCUCGUGAUAGUGAGUAAGUUCUCACGAGAUCUGGUUGUUUAAAGGUGUGAAGAACCUCCCCUCUGUCUCUCUUGCUCCUGUUCCUGCCAUGUAAGAUAUGCUGGCUCCCCCUUUGCCUUCUGCCAUGAUUGUAAGUAUCCAGAGGCCUCUCCAGAAGCUGAGCAGAUGUCAGCACCAUGCUUCCUGUACAGCCUGUGGAACCAUGAGCCAAUUAAACCUCAUUCCUUUAC
rnacentral:lncRNA from 1 species